GGUAUGGUGUAGUGGUUUGAGUGUUGGACUCUGACUCUGGAGACCAAGGUUCAAAUCCUUGCUUGGCCA